UCCCUGGUGGCUCAGAUGGUAAAAGCAUCUGCCUGCAAUGCAGGAGACCGGGGUUUGAUUCCUGGGUCGGGGAA
rnacentral:tRNA from 1 species